rnacentral:rRNA from 1 species
UACAGAGGGUGCGAGCGUUGUCCGGAAUCACUGGGCGUAAAGGGCGCGUAGGCGGCCUGAUAAGUCGGGGGUGAAAUCCUGUGGCUUAACCACAGGGCUGCCUCCGAGACUGUCGGGCUCGAGCUCACUAGAGGCAGAUGGAAUUCCGGGUGUAGCGGUGGAAUGCGUAGAGAUCCGGAAGAACACCGGUGGCGAAGGCGGUCUGCUGGGGUGAUGCUGACACUGAUGCGCGACAGCGUGGGGAGCAAACAGG